rnacentral:rRNA from 1 species
UACGUAGGUGGCAAGCGUUGUUCGGAGUUACUGGGCGUAAAGAGUGCGUAGGCGGUUCCCUAAGUUCGGUGUGAAAUCUCCCGGCUCAACUGGGAGGGUGCGCCGGAAACUGGGGGGCUUGAGUGUGGGAGAGGAAAGCGGAAUUCCUGGUGUAGCGGUGAAAUGCGUAGAUAUCAGGAGGAACACCGGCGGUGUAGACGGCUUUCUGGACCACGACUGACGCUGAGGCACGAAAGCGUGGGGAGCAAACAGG